rfam:Myotis davidii contig33330, whole genome shotgun sequence.
GGCCCCUGGCAAUGGGCAAGGAGACACCUGAUGGGUGGUGCUGCUCUUAUGUCAGUCAGGGGCCAAGCAGAUGUACAGUCCUGAGUUCAUCCUAGCUGAUGCCUGUGUGGGUGGCCAGAGAGUUUCAUGCCUGGGGCACAUAA